rnacentral:rRNA from 1 species
AAACUUUCAACAACGGAUCUCUUGGCUCUGGCAUCGAUGAAGAACGCAGCGAAAUGCGAUAAGUAAUGUGAAUUUGCAGAAUUUCAGUGAAUCAUCGAAUCUUUGAACGCACAUUGCGCCCCUUGGUAUUCCGAGGGGCAUGCCUAUUCGAGCGUCAUUA